UUGUUCCUUAGUCCUUGCUAAAUUUGCUAAGCGUUGAGCACUGCCGUCACCCAUAACCACUAGCAUCAAUAGCCCUUACUCCGAACACCUCGAUUUCUAUAUCAUUCAUCGUCAUGCCAUCGAACUAGGAAUCAAUUGUGGAGCUGCCGACUUGGCCUUCCACCUACUAGAUCUCCAAGACAUCAUCCUCACCCAUAUAUCCUCAAUCACACCCUUCCUCAAGCAUGACCUCAAAAAAAACAAAAAACAAAAAAAACUCGUUCUUGGUAGUAAUCUAAAGUCAUUGAUUCUUACCAUUUUUUACCUCAUGUUAUAGUUUUUUACACAACUUGAACGCGAUAGUCUUUAAUAUUGAAAAAAAGGGGGGGAAAGCUCAAUCUACUUAAGUCUUCUUCAUGGUUUCUUUUUCCUAAAAUUGUUUU
rnacentral:lncRNA from 1 species